CCUACGUGAGGCUGCAGUGAGGAAUAUUGGUCAAUGGGCGCGAGCCUGAACCAGCCAAGUAGCGUGAAGGAUGACUGCCCUACGGGUUGUAAACCUCUUUUAUAAAGGAAUAAAGUGAGGCACGUGUGCCUUUUUGUAUGUACUUUAUGAAUAAGGAUCGGCUAACUCCGUGCCAGCAGCCGCGGUAAUACGGAGGAUCCGAGCGUUAUCCGGAUUUAUUGGGUUUAAAGGGAGCGUAGAUGGGUUGUUACGUCAGUUGUGAAAGUUUGCGGCUCAACCGUAAAAUUGCAAUUGAUACUGGCAGUCUUGAGUACAGUUGAGGUAGGCGGAAUUCGUGGUGUAGCGGUGAAAUGCUUAGAUAUCACGAAGAACUCCGAUUGCGAAGGCAGCUUACUAAACUGCCACUGACAUUGAUGCUCGAAAGUGUGGGUAUCAAACAGGAUUAGAUACCCUUGUAGUC
rnacentral:rRNA from 1 species